rnacentral:rRNA from 1 species
UGGGGAAUAUUGCACAAUGGGCGCAAGCCUGAUGCAGCCAUGCCGCGUGUAUGAAGAAGGCCUUCGGGUUGUAAAGUACUUUCAGCGGGGAGGAAGGGAGUAAAGUUAAUACCUUUGCUCAUUGACGUUACCCGCAGAAGAAGCACCGGCUAACUCCGUGCCAGCAGCCGCGGUAAUACGGAGGGUGCAAGCGUUAAUCGGAAUUACUGGGCGUAAAGCGCACGCAGGCGGUUUGUUAAGUCAGAUGUGAAAUCCCCGGGGUCAACCUGGGAACUUCAUCUGAUACUGGCCAGCUUUGGUCUCGUAGAGGGGGGUAGAAUUCCAGGUGUAGCGGUGAAAUGCGUAGAGAUCUGGGGGAAUACCGGUGGCGAAGGCGGCCCCCUGGGCGAAGACUGACGCUCAGGUGCGAAAGCGUGGGGAGCAAACAGG